rnacentral:tRNA from 2 species
GGCGCGCGGCAGAGCGGUCAAUGUGGAUGGUCAAUUGCCGCAACAUCUUGAUUUUAUGAAUAAGGUGACGGCCUGCAAAGCCGUUUAGGCCGGUUCGACUCCGGCUCGCGCCUCCA